rnacentral:rRNA from 1 species
AGGGUUUGAUCAUGGCUCAGGAUGAACGCUGGCGGCGUGCCUAAUACAUGCAGGUCGAACGAGAACCGGUAUUCGUAUCGGGGGCAGUGGCGGACGGGUGAGCAACACGUAGACGACCUGCCCUCAGGCGGGGGAUAACGGGGGGAAACUUCCGCUAAUACCCUAUAAGCUCACGCUGAUUGGAUAGGUGUGAGAAAAGAUUUAUCGCCUGAGGAGGGGUCUGCGGCCCAUCAGCUAGUUGGCGGGGUAAAGGCCCACCAAGGCAUCGACGGGUAGGGGGCCUGAGAGGGUGGUCCCCCACAUGGGCACUGAGACACGGGCCCAACUCCUACGGGAGGCAGCAGUAAGGGAUAUUGCACAAUGGGCGCAAGCCUGAUGCAGCAACGCCGCGUGCCCGAUGAAGGCCUUCGGGUCGUAAAGGGCUUUUCUGGCUGAAGAAACAGACUGUAAGCCAGGAAUAAGUGUCGGCUAACUACGUGCCAGCAGCCGCGGUAAAACGUAGGACGCGAGCGUUAUCCGGAGUUACUGGGCGUAAAGCGCGGGCAGGCGGUCUGACAAGUCUGAUGUGAAAUCUCCCGGCUCAACCGGGCGAGGCCAUUGGAAACUGACAGGCUGGAGGGCAGUAGAGGUAGGCGGAAUUCCGGGUGGAGUGGUGAAAUGCGUAGAGAUCCGGAGGAGCACCAGAGGCGAAGGCGGCCUACUGGGCUGCACCUGACGCUGAGCCGCGAAAGCCAGGGGAGCGAACGGGAUUAGAAACCCCGGUAGUCCUGGCCGUAAACGAUGUGUGCUGGAUGGUGGGGGGGUGAAACCCACACUGUCGAAGCUAACGCGAUAAGCACACCGCCUGGGGAGUACGGCCG